UACCAGCACCCCGAGUGGUCGGGACGUUUAUUGGGCCUAAAGCAUCCGUAGCCGGUUCUACAAGUCUUCCGUUAAAUCCACCUGCUCAACAGAUGGGCUGCGGAAGAUACUAUGGAUCUAGGAGGCGGGAGAGGCAAGCGGUACUCGAUGGGUAGGGGUAAAAUCCGUUGAUCCAUUGAAGACCACCAGUGGCGAAGGCGGCUUGCCAGAACGCGCUCGACGGUGAGGGAUGAAAGCUGGGGGAGCAAACCGG
rnacentral:rRNA from 1 species